GCGCGUUCUCAGGGCGGGGUGAAAUUCCCCACCGGCGGUAUGUGGCGAGCCGAGACAUCGGUUGCACCACGAGCCCGCGAGCGGCCCACAAUGUGGGUGUCAGCAGAUCUGGUGAGAGGCCAGAGCCGACGGUUAAAGUCCGGAUGGAAGAGAAUGAAG
rnacentral:ncRNA from 2 species